GGGGAUGAAGAGGAGGAGGGGAGGAGAAAUGGAGGAUGGUUGGAGGGCUGUGGAACCCUUCCAGCAGGACCACUAAUCUAACUACUGCUCCUUCUCUUUCCCCAGCCCCGUCCUGCUCAUCCAAACACCCACAGAGGCUGUGUGCCACCAUCCCAAACCCUGUCCCCAACCCCAGUAUCAUCCCCAAACAAUUCCUCACCAAUGCCACCUGCUAAGCCCUGGGUGUGGGCCAUGGCUGCACCUUUGACCACCUCCAGCAUGAUUUCUCAGGCUUCUGCCUCUACCUUUUGACUGAACACUGCUUCAGAAACAAGAGCCCCAGAUUCUUCGGUGUCCUCAUCCAGGGCAGCCCUGGCAGUGCCAUUGGUGCCCAAGUCCAUGUCUUCCGCACGGUGAAGGAGCUGGAGCCUGGGCGGGUGCUGAAGCUGACACGAGCCUUCCUCUGACCAGCGGCCCUGCACAAAGUCUGGAGAGCCAGACAGAGGUUGAGAAGGCAGCAGAGAGAGGUGACAUCCCAUCUUCCUCCCAUG